rnacentral:hammerhead_ribozyme from 1 species
AUCCAUCUGACGAGUCCCAAAUAGGACGAAACGCGGGUGAAACUGGAU